rnacentral:rRNA from 1 species
GCCUCAUAGACUGGGACAACUAUUGGAAACGAUAGCUAAUACCGGAUAACAGCAUUAACUGCAUGGUUGAUGUUUGAAAGUUGGUUAUGCUAACACUAUGAGAUGGCUUUGCGGUGCAUUAGCUAGUUGGCGGGGUAAAGGCCCACCAAGGCGACGAUGCAUAGCCGACCUGAGAGGGUGAUCGGCCACACUGGGACUGAGACACGGCCCAG